UACGUAGGGGGCAAGCGUUGUCCGGAAUCAUUGGGCGUAAAGAGCGUGUAGGCGGUCCGGUAAGUCCGCUGUGAAAGUCGGGGGCUCAACCCUCGAAUGCCGGUGGAUACUGUCGGGCUAGAGUGCGGAAGAGGCGAGUGGAAUUCCUGGUGUAGCGGUGAAAUGCGCAGAUAUCGGGGGGAACACCAAUUGCGAAGGCAGCUCGCUGGGACGUUACUGACGCUGAGACGCGAAAGCGUGGGGAGCAAACAGG
rnacentral:rRNA from 1 species